rnacentral:lncRNA from 1 species
CAUAAAAUUGCCGUAAACAUUAUCAGCGAUUUUAUUUAGGAGAUACAUGUAAUAACGCUAAAAGACAUGAGACGUUCUGGCGUUAAAUAUUGGACACGUUUUGGCGAAUAACUUUAUCGGACACGUUUGGGGAAUAUUGUACAUUUCGGACACGUUUAGGGAGAAAAGACACGUUUGGGGGAAUCGGACACGUUUGGGGGAA